rnacentral:rRNA from 1 species
CGCUGGCGGCGUGCCUCAGACAUGCAAGUCGAACGAUUUAAAGCUCUCUUCGGAGAGUGUAUAGAGUGGCGCACGGGUGAGUAACACGUAAGUAAUCUACCCUCGAGUAGGGGAAUAACAACCGGAAACGGUUGCUAAUACCGCAUAAUGCAGCGGCACCGCAAGGUGACAGUUGUUAAAGAUUUAUCGCUUGAGGAGGAGCUUGCGGCAGAUUAGCUAGUUGGUAGGGUAACGGCUUACCAAGGCUACGAUCUGUAACCGGUCUAAGAGGACGGUCGGUCACACUGACACUGAAUAACGGGUCAGACUCCUACGGGAGGCAGCAGUCGGGAAUUUUGGGCAAUGGGCGAAAGCCUGACCCAGCAACGCCGCGUGAAGGAUGAAGUAUUUCGGUAUGUAAACUUCGAAAGAAUAGGAAGAAUUAAUGACGGUACUAUUUAUAAGGUCCGGCUAACUACGUG